UACGUAGGGUGCGAGCGUUAAUCGGAAUUACUGGGCGUAAAGAGUGCGUAGGCGGUUCUCCAAGUCCGUUGUGAAAGCCCCGGGCUCAACCUGGGAAUGGCAGUGGAAACUAGGGAACUUGAAUCUGGCAGAGGGGGGUGGAAUGCCGCGUGUAGCAGUGAAAUGCGUAGAGAUGCGGCGGAACACCGAUGGCGAAGGCAGCCCCCUGGGCUGAGAUUGACGCUCAGGCACGAAAGCGUGGGGAGCAAACAGG
rnacentral:rRNA from 1 species